AAGGUUAACCUCAGACGUUUUCUUCACAGUGAAGUGAACUGAUGCAUAGAUAGUUUCUGAUGACUGUACCCUCCCCAAAUUCUUCACCUUACUUCUGCAGGAUAAUAGCGAGCAUAUACACAUUUGGCAUGGGAAGCAUCAUCACCAUUACAGACAGACUCUGAGAACUGAGCAUGUAGUUGAUGAUACCUCCCAACCUAGCCAUGCUUCUGAGGGGAAGUCACAUCCAAAAGGGAGUGUUCUGGCACCGAUGGCUGGUUUGGUUGUGAAGGUUUUGCUUGAAGAUGGGGCACAGGUGGAGGCAGGGCAGCCUGUCAUGGUUAUGGAAGCAAUGAAGAUGGAGGUCUGGAUAAACUAUCUUGCCGGUUAUUUUUUGAAGUUCUGGCCCAACUCAAUGAACGCUAAAAUCUCUUUACCCUUUUCAGCAUGUUGUGAAGGCGCCUCGCGCUGGAUAUGUGGAGGGCCUGAAGGUUACUGCUGGCCAACAAGUUUUUGACUCUAGUGUCCUUUUCACUAUUAAGGUACGUAGUGGUUUUUCUAAUAAUAUCCUAGAAAGCUUGCAUUUUUCUUUAUUUAUUUUGUCGCAACACAAAGUUAGUGCUAAGUUUCAUCAUCAUCAGAGAUGAACCAAUAGUAAUCGAACUUCUUAAAUGCAUUCAACUUAGAAUAUUAAGUGAAAUGAAAGGAAAAGAGUGUAAAAGUCAAUAGGUGACUGUUAUACAGUCUGAACAGCUGCAGCCAUGUGGUUUCAGUAUAUGGUAACCACACCAUGAGUCAUUAGCAGCAGCAAGCGCCUGUUGCACUGAUUUUCUACCUUCUUAUAGAUAUUAGCCAUCUAUAAUGGUUUGAACCAACAGCGGUAUUCAAAGGCGUGCUGUGAUCUCUGGGGAAAGCAAACAGCAGCAGUAAUGUUAUCUGAAAAACCUUAUCUGUAGUGGAGGAGUUGGUUCAAACCCCACCAAAAUGAUCGCAGCGUUUUAUGUAGUAGAAAGCAGGGCUCCCCCUUCAGCCACAAAUUAGAAUAUACAAACUUUUUAAGAGUCGGUAGUGUUUGUUACAUAUUUUCUGUCAGCUUCUCAAAGAUGGAUCUAUAUAAUUAAAUCUAUAUGAUACCAGUACAAUGGUCAUGUUUUCCUCCACUUUUGCCCUAGUACUCAGCUGAAUUCCAAACCAACCUUUUUCCAGGACAAUACUGCGAACUGAGAUGCAGCAUCCCAGAAGCUGUCCGACUACAGCAGUAUCAAACAAUUCACGGAUGAUCCAGGAGUUGAUCGACAACGCUGGCAUUCAGAUAGAAAGCAAAUGAAUAAACAGGUGGGUGGGUUCAUCUGCGGGCAAGCAACCUGCUGGACCAUGAACUCCCAGCGGCAUACUGGUAUCCUGGACCAUGGAUGGCACAGCUCUCUUGUAGUCUUGUGGUACAAAAGGUGCAUCAUAAUUCAUGUUAAUUCCACAUUUUAUUACAGAGACAAGCUUGUCUACCAUCUUCAUCUCUUUGGGUUUGGAUAUGCAUAAAGCACCAUCCACUUUUGGCUACACGUGCAUGGAAAAUGAUCGUAUAGGAGUCGGACGCUGGUUUUUGAGCACGCUUUGGGUCUCCAAAUACAUAAGGGGUAUUAACAAUGAUUGGCCUCAGCAUGAAGCAUGGCUAGUACAGAGCCGACCAAGUCACUGUAACCUCCACAGUGGCGAAGUCAAAUUUCCGGCGGUCACUGACAGACCCAUGCGCUGCAACCCUGAAGGCAAAAUCACCGAUAAGAUGGGACGGCGGGUCACCACCACCACCAGCAGCAGGAGCUUUGAAUCGUAGGAUCAGAUCAGACGCAACGAUGUGAUCCUCCUUCAAAUCCCUCGCGAAUUUGGUUUGAAUCGAAGUUUUUCCUAAAACAGGAUUUUCUUCAAAAUUCGUGACGGAUACUUGAGCUUUUUCAAGAUCUUCUUCCUAGAUCUAUUAGCCUUAGCCUUUGAGGGGCUGCAUCCAUGGCUCAAGUUUCGUCUCGAAUCGUUGAAUCUUGAGGGAGUAUUUUUCGUUUGAAGUUGGUGCCGGCAGCUUCGCACGGGCGCGGGGCAGGCCAGCGCAUCGGGCCAGGCCAGCAGCAGCGAGCCCAGCUAGUGCCAGCAGGCUGCCCAGCAGCAGCACGCCCUGCUCGUGCUUCGCGGGCCAGGCCAGCAGGCCAGCAGCAGCAGGCCUGGCGAGCACCACAGCUCAACCUGGUGGCCAGCGGCCCAGCACGCACGUGUGAGAGCAGGCGGAGACACUAGCACUCUAGCCAGGAGCACGCACGUGUGGCCCAAGGAGAAGCAACCCAUCAUUUCCAGCUGGCCCAUCAAGGUUCGGUCUAGUGCUUUUAAUUCCUGCUAAGUUAAUUAUUGCUGGUUAAUCUGUGCAACCUUGUUCAAUUGUUUUGUCACUCGCUAAUCAUGCUUAGUUCUUAAUUAAUUAUUUCAAGCAUUUUUAGUGGAGUGAUGAUUUGGUAGUGUUUGAGCUCAAUCGCUUGUGCAAGCUUUUCAGUAUCUCACUUUGCUUUUCUUGCGCUACGCUUCGAGCAUUCCUAAUCGUUACUAGGGUGAGUUGUUGACUUGUGUCAUCUUGACGAUUAUGCACGAUAUGUGUUUUCGGAUGGUAAUUGGAACAUAGGUCUCAUUCUCAGAGACAAUUUCAAAGACUCCUAUUCAACCUCCCUUUGGUUGCCCCGUUCUGGUCCUUCUUAGAGGCAUAGGAGGAUGCAGCAGCAUACGGCUGCUAAAACUUCGAUGAAUGCUUCUAGGUUUGACCACUCUGAUACGAUAUCCCUUUUAUAUUCUUUACGAAAAGCAUAACCCUUAUGACACUUAAAACUGAUAAGACGAAGCAGAGACGAAGUAGACGACGACUGGUUUGGUUGGAUGCUGGAAUCGAACAAUCGAACAAGACGCUCCCGGCCAGGUUACCCGACUGCUAGCUAAGUUGUUCUUUUUUCCUGGGACGACAACAACGACAAGCUGCACCUGCACGUGCGCGAGUUGGCACGGACUACGGCGGCGUCAGAGUUCAAGUUCCCCUGGAGCAGCCCGAAAGCGACGGCGCACUCGAUCCGGCCAGCCAUGGCGACGCUGCCGGCCGGCCGGCCGCCAAAGCAGAAGGUGACGCUGCACGAAAGGACAAGGGAUUCCGGCGGCGACGUUUCUGUGGCACAGAAACGCAUGCACGAUCGAGCUGGAAAAAGAUGCCUGCGGGGAGAGAUCGAGGACGAUCGUGUUCCCGGCGACGUGGCCGUGUCGCCGCUCGUAGGAGGAGGGAACCUGAUGCUCCCAGCCUCCCAGGUUGUAGGCGCGUAGUCGCCUGCGUGUGCGUGCAGGGCUCGCCUCUCCGCGCGCGCACGUGCAUGGGGUUUGUGCGUGCGUGGCGGUUCUGGCGUCGACGCCUCUCCGUCCAACAAGAACCGGCGGCCACGCACGCACACGGAGCGUUGAACGAAGGUGUUCCGUUCAACCUUCUAUUCACUUGUUUACGACAUCGCGGCGAUGGACCACGGUUGAAGAGAGACCGAGGACGGCGACCACGCAAAAGGAAUAUGCAUCGUCUAUGCUUCAAUCUACAUCACCAUCUUCUUCCUUUUCUUCUUUAAUUUUACAUGUAUCUUGCUGCAUGAAUUGGAAAUAUCUCUUUAUCAAAGCCUACAACUAAUCAAACAAAUAGCACGAAGAACCAAGUACAGAAAUGAUACCAUGUUCUCCGAAUAUCCGACUGAUGACCCCCAAGAAACUAUAACUAUCCUUAUUUACUAACGUAUAUUUUUUGAGCUUGCAUUCCUGGAAGGUAGGAGCAUGCAAGCAACAACCAAAUCAUGUCGUCAUUAGUAGGUACGUAAUUUCAACGUCAACAUUAUUAACUACAUAGCCAAUGUGGACAUCUUGAUGCAAUUAUUGCAUGUAAAAUGUUAUUUUCUGUGUGUCAACGUGGCGACAUGAUGCAAAUAAGAAGCGUCAUUCAAGAUGUCGUAAAAGAGUGGACCGCUUUGCCUGAAUGGGCGUUCUUGACUUUGUUGUUGCUCCAAAGAAAUUAAAUCCAGUUGAAACGAUCAUUGCGCGUUGAAUCAUGGCUUCUAGUGUAUAUACUCAUGAAGGAUAUACUUUUCUACAUGAUUUAUCAACUUUUACCUUUUUUAACUUCUAUCUCCGAUUUCCUUUUUUUUAAGAAAAAAAAUGUGUUGUAAUGUUCAUGUCAAUUUCAAGAAAACAUCAUAGCAGAUUAUCACAAAAAACGAAGGAAAGUCAAAAGAGUUAUCCUUGUUGUAUAUUUCGCACACGGCUUUUGUUGUAUAACACCUUACUACAACGAUAUUGUUUUCCUGUACAACCGACACUACUCCAUUAUUGUAACCAAUAGAGACCCUAACUUUAGAAUAAGUGGAUAACUGAGAGCUCCCGCCGAGGACAAAAUAAACCAUUAUUUCUCUUGUUUGAUGCUCUCUCCGUAGAAAUGCAGUCUUUGAGGUGUAAUUUUGGCCACCAUGAUGUAUUAUAAAUGACCAUAAUAUAUAGUUGUUCAAAUACUUUCAAGACAGAUCUAUCGUGUAUGAUUUUUUAUUAUAAACUCAUCAUAAUUAUAUUAGACAAGUUUGACUUAGGAAAAAAUUAAAAUUACUUACAGUUUGAAAAAUAGUGGAGAAAGUUUUAGAUAUAUCAACGGCUAAGAUUUUGAAAGUUUGGUUGAGUUUUGGUCAAUAUUACUUACUAGAGGUACCUAUAAACAUGCCAUCUAUAUAGGAAUUCACCAAAAACUAGGCUAAUUUCUAUUUUCAAGACCUAGCUAGGACUCAACUCAAGAACUCUUCUCUAAUUUUAUGAAACCUAGUAUAUCGCAUGAAAUUCAUGCCACUAAGAUCUUCCACGCAGUGCGGAAGUGAGGUUAAAAAAUUUGGAGCCCAUCGUAAAAAUAGCGUUGCUCUUUAAGGUGUAUAGCAUCACCGACCCCUUCCCCCCUCCCCCCAUCUCCCAUGACAAAUAAAACACAAAAUGGAAGCAGCAGAGUCCUCUCCUUUUCUUCCUCGCACGCAUAGCCACAUAGACUAUCUUUCCUGGCUGUCUAGAUCCGCCGUUGGUGAAGAUCGUUACCAUCCAACCUCGGUAAAAAUCAAACCCACUUGUUUGCUUGGUACUCUCUGCUCUAGGGUGAGAUUUACAAGCAUUCCUCUCCAUACCUAGUCUCCCCCGAUGCGAUGACUAUUGAGUAGGUCUCAGGAAUUUUUGCGCUAGUUUCCUUACUAUGUUGUUCAUCUCCAUUGCUAUGUUGUGGCCUCUCACUAUUGAACCCUCUGGAAAACCUCCUCGCACACCACCUCCACGCCGCUAAUAAUGACUCCAGCUACCAACCUCCACUUUGGGCUCGACUUCUCUCCAUAAUUAUUGUGGUAUUAAGUGUUUUCGUGCUGGCAGUAGAAAAAACUAUCUCUUACAAAGAUGGUAUCAGUGCCAACUACUUGCCCACCCCUCGUUUUCCUUGCGUGGCUGUAGCGUUGGGAGCAUGUUCCAACCUUUCUCUUUUUAUUUUGGACCUAAGUUCCUUUAUUUCCCUAUAGGAAAAGAUAAAAUAAAUUCCUUUUUGCUUGCCAAAAAAAGAAGAAAAGAAACUCCUUUGUUCAACGAGUGGCACGCCCCUAGCUAAGAAGCCAUAUAUCAAUGUCGAAAACGUGGUUUAAUCCUUGACAUUUAUUGCCGUAAAUUCCUCACUGCUGACAAUUGAUAUACCGCGGGCCAAACUUCUGAAACACCUAUUCUUCCAUUACAUCUAAAGAAUCAAUAGGUAUGUUAGCCCUAACCAUUUUUUUUUACAACACUUUUUCCUGAUAUGACCUGUUAAUGACACACAGUACAUACUUUUCAGGAGGUGACAAGAAACUAUUUGUAUGGUACAAUAAUACACCUUUCAGGAUGCAUCACUUUGCUAGGCAACCACUAGAAUUGGAGUUUGAAGAACAUGAUGGAUUCAAUGAGAAACUGCUUAAACUGUUCAUUAUGUAUAAGCCUGAUGGAAGCUACUUCAUCGAGGUCAUUACUUUUCAUAGGACAAAAGUACCUUUAAUGUACCUUUUGCAUAUUUGAACUUUAGUUGAUGGAAGCUACGUCAAAAAGGUGGUUAGUACUCUACUAAUAGGCACAUGGCCCAACCUGAUACGAUCUUACAUAAUCGAUAGCCACAACAAAAAAUAUCUGGCCAAACAACUCAUAUGGCCUACAUAGUAAAAGAGAGGAUUCUAAACCCACUAGAAAUUGGUUUUUGCUGCUGACACGAAGACAGGGCAGUAUAAUGUAUGUUGUCCACCAUGUGGCUUUCAACAAGCCACUAGAAAUGGGCUUUAACAAUAUAAUACUCCUGUUCUUUCAAUCAGUAUCUUCACUAAUUAUUUUUAUGUUGAUCAGACUGAAGAUGGCACUUCUGGUUUGGAUGUCAAAGUUGAUCACAAGGGUGACCAUGAUUUUCGUGUAGAUGCUGCUGGCCUGCAAACUGAUGUGACUCUAGCUUAUUAUUCAAAGGUUAACCUCAGACGUUUUCUUCACAGUGAAGUGAACUGAUGCAUAGAUAGUUUCUGAUGACUGUACCCUCCCCAAAUUCUUCACCUUACUUCUGCAGGAUAAUAGCGAGCAUAUACACAUUUGGCAUGGGAAGCAUCAUCACCAUUACAGACAGACUCUGAGAACUGAGCAUGGAUCUGAUGAUAGCUCCCAACCUAGCCAUGCUUCUGAGGUGAAGUCACAUCCAAAAGGGAGUGUUCUGGCACCGAUGGCUG
rnacentral:lncRNA from 1 species